CCUACGGGUGGCAGCAGUGGGGAAUAUUGGGCAAUGGGCGCAAGCCUGACCCAGCAACGCCGCGUGAAGGAAGAAGGCUUUCGGGUUGUAAACUUCUUUUCUCAGGGACGAAGAAAGUGACGGUACCUGAGGAAUAAGCCACGGCUAACUACGUGCCAGCAGCCGCGGUAAUACGUAGGUGGCAAGCGUUAUCCGGAUUUACUGGGGGGAAAGGGGGUGUAGGCGGGACUGCAAGUCAGAUGUGAAAACCACGGGCUCAACCUGUGGCCUGCAUUUGAAACUGUAGUUCUUGAGUACUGGAGAGGCAGACGGAAUUCCUAGUGUAGCGGUGAAAUGCGUAGAUAUUAGGAGGAACACCAGUGGCGAAGGCGGCUUACUGGACUGUAACUGACGUUGAGGCUCGAAAGCGUGGGGAGCAAACAGGAUUAGAUACCCGGGUAGUC
rnacentral:rRNA from 1 species